rnacentral:rRNA from 1 species
UACGGAGGGUGCAAGCGUUAUCCGGAUUUACUGGGUUUAAAGGGUGCGUAGGUGGGUAAGUAAGUCAGUGGUGAAAUCUUCGAGCUUAACUCGGAAACUGCCAUUGAUACUAUCAUUCUUGAAUACCGUGGAGAUGAGCGGAAUAUGUCAUGUAGCGGUGAAAUGCUUAGAUAUGACAUAGAACACCAAUUGCGAAGGCAGCUCGUUACACGAAUAUUGACACUCAGGCACGAAAGCGUGGGGAUCAAACAGG